GUAAAAGUUGGAGCAACACAUAAUAUCAGCACCGGACUGCUGAACAUGAUGUUCUGGACAUGUUUUGAAAGUGCUGUUGCUGGGGAUUUCAACACAGAUGGUUUCCUUCUCUGGUGUAAACAGAAAACAAAAAGUCUCUAUAGUUUUCAGGAAAAAUCCUUUUAAAAGAACAUUCUUGGUUCAAUACAAGUAGUUGCCCAGCAAGGACUAAAUGGUGACAACGUGUUCCUGGAAACACAGAGGAUUGAGAUAAGCUAUUCCAUGUAAGCCAGAUCACUAAAGCAACCAGAGCCCAUGACAACACUUGUUUCAACACCUU